rnacentral:rRNA from 1 species
CACCUACGGGUGGCAGCAGUGAGGAAUAUUGGACAAUGGGCGCAAGCCUGAUCCAGCCAUGCCGCGUGCAGGAAGACGCAUCUAUGGUGUGUAAACUGCUUUUGUACGGGAAGAAACACUCCUUCGUGAAGGAGCUUGACGGUACCGUAAGAAUAAGGAUCGGCUAACUCCGUGCCAGCAGCCGCGGUAAUACGGAGGAUCCAAGCGUUAUCCGGAAUCAUUGGGUUUAAAGGGUCCGUAGGCGGUUUAGUAAGUCAGUGGUGAAAGCCCAUCGCUCAACGAUGGAACGGCCAUUGAUACUGCUAGACUUGAAUUACUAGGAAGUAACUAGAAUAUGUAGUGUAGCGGUGAAAUGCUUAGAUAUUACAUGGAAUACCAAUUGCGAAGGCAGGUUACUACUAGUGGAUUGACGCUGAUGGACGAAAGCGUGGGGAGCGAACAGGAUUAGAUACCCUGGUAGUCCACGCCGUAAACGAUGGAUACUAGCUGUUCGGAGCAAUCUGAGUGGCUAAGCGAAAGUGAUAAGU